AAAAAUUCGUAUUAAAAAUGUAUGAAAUAGUAGGGGAAACAAAUGUAAGAAAUAAAAAUAAUGAAACAAUUUUAGUAUAAUCCAAGUAAAAAAAGUUAUUAAUCACUUUUGUCUUUUGGAUGUGUACUGGUAGGUGGAAAAAAGAAGCGCUGCUCAGUUUUUUGGUCCCGGGUUCAAUACUGUGUUAAGACGUGAUUUAUUAUUAUUAUUAUUUAAUUAACCCGUUUUCAAAUCAGAUUGAACCGGUUAACGGUUUAAUUUUCGGUUAAUCCAAUUUGACUAGCCGGUACCAUCCUUUAUGAUUUUUUUUUUCUAAUGUUGAUAAGUCUAAGCUCUUUUAUUCCUUUUCAUCUAUUCUCUACCUUUUUGUAGCUCUGGUGGAAAAGAGUAAGGGUAUUAUUAAGGGAGAGUCAAUGAAAGGGAAAGAACAUGUAAUUGGAAUUAAGUCAAAUCAUGAUUCUUUUGAUGAAAUUAAUCUUGAAUCUUCUGUUUGGAAAUUAGAAUUUUAUUAGAAUUUA
rnacentral:misc_RNA from 1 species